rnacentral:rRNA from 1 species
UGGGGAAUAUUGGACAAUGGGGGGAACCCUGAUCCAGCCAUGCCGCGUGUGUGAAGAAGGCCUUAUGGUUGUAAAGCACUUUAAGCGAGGAGGAGGGUACUGGUAUUAAUACAACCAGGUACUGGACGUUACUCGCAGAAUAAGCACCGGCUAACUCUGUGCCAGCAGCCGCGGUAAUACAGAGGGUGCGAGCGUUAAUCGGAUUUACUGGGCGUAAAGCGUGCGUAGGCGGCUAAUUGAGUCGGAUGUGAAAUCCCCGAGCUUAACUUGGGAAUUGCAUUCGAUACUGGUUAGCUAGAGUGUGGGAGAGGAUGGUAGAAUUCCAGGUGUAGCGGUGAAAUGCGUAGAGAUCUGGAGGAAUACCGAUGGCGAAGGCAGCCAUCUGGCCUAACACUGACGCUGAGGUACGAAAGCAUGGGGAGCAAACAGG